CAGUAGCCGCGGGAACACGAAGGGUGCAAGCGUUAAUCGGAAUUACUGGGCGUAAAGCGUGCGUAGGCGGUUUGUUAAGUCUGUUGUGAAAUCCCCGGGCUCAACCUGGGAAUGGCAGUGGAUACUGGCUCGCUAGAGUGUGUCAGAGGAUGGUGGAAUUCCCGGUGUAGCGGUGAAAUGCGUAGAGAUCGGGAGGAACAUCAGUGGCGAAGACGGCCAUCUGGGACAACACUGACGCUGAGGCACGAAAGCGUGGGGAGCAAACAGGAUUAGAUACCCGCGUAGUCCCUGUCUCUUAUAC
rnacentral:rRNA from 1 species